rnacentral:tRNA from 1 species
GUAAUCGUAGCUUAUCACACAAAGCAUGACUCUGAAGCUGUCAAGAUGGGGAGCCCCCCGAAAACA